rnacentral:rRNA from 1 species
CCUACGGGUGGCAGCAGUGGGGAAUAUUGCACAAUGGGGGAAACCCUGAUGCAGCGACGCCGCGUGAGUGAAGAAGUAUUUCGGUACGUAAAGCUCUAUCAGCAGGGAAGAAAAUGACGGUACCUGACUAAGAAGCCCCGGCUAACUACGUGCCAGCAGCCGCGGUAAUACGUAGGGGGCAAGCGUUAUCCGGAUUUACUGGGUGUAAAGGGAGUGUAGACGGUAGAGCAAGUCUGAUGUGAAAUGCCAUGGCUUAACCAUGGGACUGCAUUGGAAACUGUGCAACUAGAGUGCAGGAGAGGUAAGCGGAAUUCCUAGUGUAGCGGUGAAAUGCGUAGAUAUUAGGAGGAACACCAGUGGCGAAGGCGGCUUACUGGACUGUAACUGACGUUGAGGCUCGAAAGCGUGGGGAGCAAACAGGAUUAGAUACCCGUGUAGUC